CCACAAACCAUGAGUGACACCUAGCAGCAUAUCAUGGUUACCCAAGCUAAUCAGAAGAGGUUGAGAACCUAUUCAGUUUAGGAUUACAAAUGCAAUACGGUCUUUCUCUAAUACAAUACUCUUGACCACAUUGUUUGGUUUGAUAGUUUAUUCAUGUCUACUAUCCAAUAUGAUUCGUGUGCUUAUAUGAUUACCUUGAAUGUGAUUUGGAACGCCUUCCUAAAUCUCAUUCAUACUAUGGCCAAAGAUUCUUAAUCAUAUCAUAGAGUAUUCUCCCUCAAACGGUUUGAAGGUUA
rnacentral:lncRNA from 1 species